AACGCGAAGAACCUUACCAAGGCUUGACAUAUACAGGAAUAUGGCAGAGAUGUCAUAGCCGCAAGGUCUGUAUACAGGUGGUGCAUGGUUGUCGUCAGCUCGUGUCGUGAGAUGUUGGGUUAAGUCCCGCAACGAGCGCAACCCUUGUUUCUAGUUGGCUUUUAGCACCCUAGAGAGACUGCCGAUUAUAAAUCGGAGGAAGGUGAGGAUGACGUCAAGUCAUCAUGCCCCUUACGUCCUGGGCUACACACGUGCUACAAUGGAUGUGACAAAAAGUUGCCAAUUCGCGAGAACGAGCUAAUCUCUAAACACAUCCUUAGUUCAGAUUGUAGGCUGCAACUCGCCUACAUGAAGGUGGAAUCGCUAGUAAUCGCAGGUCAGCUAUACUGCGGUGAAUCCGUUCCCGGGUC
rnacentral:rRNA from 1 species